AAGUCGUAACAAGGUAACCGUAGGUGAACCUGCGGUUGGAUCAUUAUAGAUUUAACUGUAAUAAAUUUAUUAUAAAAUUUAUUGCUCCCUUUUUUUUAUAUGAAAAAAAGGUUAAUUUUAUAUAUAUAUAAAAUUUUUAGAGCAUUUAUUUUUAUAAUAAUUUUAUUAUAAACCCUAUGUGCACUAUUAAUGUUUUUUGGAUAAAAUUUUAUUACAAGAUUUUAUCCUAAAUAUUUUAUAAACCCUAAUAUUUUUUUAAGUCUGAUAGUUUAAUUAUAAAACUUUUAAACAACUUUUGACAACGGAUCUCUUGGCUCUC
rnacentral:misc_RNA from 1 species